rnacentral:misc_RNA from 1 species
UAGUUAUAUAUUUUUUGCUGGUUAACAAUGUGGCUAGUAUCAAUCUAUUUAAUUACUUCAAGUGUUCUCAAUAUAAACUUGUCUCUUUUAAAUUGUGUUAAGUGGUCAAUGUUAGUCCAAUUUAUUGAAUUUUUCUUUGCUUUGUUUAUAACUAAAGAUAAACCUUGUUUCUUGCAAAAAUAAAUUGAUUUGUGGCCCAAAUA